rnacentral:rRNA from 1 species
UACGUAGGGACCAAGCGUUGUUCGGAUUUACUGGGCGUAAAGGGCGCGUAGGCGGCAUGACAAGUCACUUGUGAAAUCUCUGGGCUUAACCCAGAACGGCCAAGUGAUACUGUCGCGCUAGAGUGCGGAAGGGGCAAUCGGAAUUCUCGGUGUAGCGGUGAAAUGCGUAGAUAUCGGGAGGAACACCAGUGGCGAAGGCGACUACCUGGCCUGUUUUUGACGCUGAGGCGCGAAAGCUAGGGGAGCAAACGGG